CCCACGCCCCUCCUAUCCGCAUCCUUCACGGAGGAUGACACGGCGGUCGGAUGGUCUCGGUAGGCCACUCAUGGCCUGAAGACGGAGUGACCACAUUCAUGUCACGAAAUUACCACGACGAGAAAAUUCGGGAAAUUGGAGCUAAUGUAUUGGGUUAUCGACAGUCAUUCUUCCCACACGCCAUUCGCGAGCGGAACAGAGAAGGGAGGAUGAGUUAGUGGUAACACGCAUCGAUAGAUGGUUUGUGAGGUGUUAUGUAGAUGUAGAUAUCGAUAUCAACCGCGAGGAAAUAACGUGACUUCUCGGCGGACCUGUUAGCAGUUACGUUUCUCGAGUUCGCCACCGGAUAACACUGUCAAAGGUCGCUAAUAUUUCUUCGAAAAUCUGUUCGACAUCUACAAGUGCUUACGGUAAUAAUAGCAGUUUGAUGUGUCUUUCAGCUAGACCUGCCGGGAACCAUCUGAGAAUGUCGAACAGUUCAAAGAAAUAUUGUCACAAAAUAUGGUGACUGCGACAGUCUUAUCCAGCAGCAAACACGAAAAGUAUAUUUGGAAGGAAAGAGGUACUAAUAGCUUAAUCACGGAUCCCAGAUACGUCGUAUAUCUCGUCACGCGGGCACCGCUUGUUAUUUCACAGACUUUAAGAUAUCGAAACCACCCUUCGGCAAGUUAUAGUAAGCGAAAUGGCCAAGUACUGUAAUUUAUCGUUAGGGUGUCUUAACGUUUUCUAAUGUAAUGGGAUGUCGAAGCAACUCUGGUUCUUCUGCAUAUGAGUCAUUUCACUUUUUCAUGGCAUUUGAUAGCUCUCGAUACAAGGGCUACGGUGACAUAACGUUUAUUUAAGUUUUACUCGAAGUUAAAUGGAAAUGUGACGGCUACGUCUACCAACAGAGCGCAGUUUGGAAUUUAUUUCACGUAAACGUCAGUCACUUAUUUUUGCAUAACUUAGUUCCAAAUACUGAAAUGCGUAUUCCUCAUUUGGGGACCUGUCGAAUUUUAUAAAAAUAUAAUCUUUUCAUUACUUAAUCAGAACUACAUCAAUAUCUCGAUAAAUAAAACAUCGUUAAAUAUUAGUAUACUGCAAAUUACUUACCUCCUGUGAACACUAUCGCUUGUUGAAAACUGACAGUCGGUGAAAGAUCAAGUGUAAACGCACUUCAAAGGUCAUCCUGCAUGUGCGUCGUGAGUGAAAUAAACACUUCCCGAGCAACAGUCAGAGACAGCGCCUAUCGUUGUUGGUGUUGACGUGUCUUCUUUGGAACCUGCUGGCCGUGCAAGGGUUAAAAAUGAUUCAGGCUAUAUGGAGUCAAUCACUUUCCCUCUUAAAAAUUGUGUAAGAAUCGAAAAGAGAGAGCAGUAACGCGAAUGACUGGGAUACAUGUUUCAUAGACCAAGAAAUGAUAAGAAUGACGUUAUUAGCAAUCAGAACUGUGAGAUACGUGAGCAUAUUAAGCAAACGAUCUUAGCCACUAUAUCACUAGUUGGUGGGCAUGUACGCAUCAGUUCUUAAGUCAACAACUUGUAACUGAUCAACGUUCGUGGAAGAGAACUUGCUACAACUCCAGGUGAUAAUCGUAAUUUCAGACAACAAUGAAUUCUAAAACUGCGAUGUCUAACAUAAUUUAUUUUACAAUAGAACAGGUCUACUGAAAUGUCAAUUUCGUCAACUUAAAGUUGUCUAUGUUUUUUGUAUUUUUCCUCCCGCCCGUAGCACUGUAGAAAUGGAUCAUAAGUUAAAGAACGGAUAGGAAGCGAAACAUGACGUAUUCGGCAAGGUGAUUUUCUUGAGCAUGGUGACUGACUUCGUAAAUUAUUUUUUUAUAGUGCUUUUCACUUUGAUGAAACUCUUAGGAAACUUCGAGAUGUACACGACCAUUGCAGUGUUGUUAAAACUAUGAACGAUUUUUUUAUUUUAGUAGCAUAUAGGAAAGAACAACAGAACUGAAAUCAGUCAUCAGUUCACGAAGUAGUGGAUGGGAAAGGACAACAGCACUGAAAUUAGGUUCAUCAUUACCCAAGGUGUGUAUUUGUUCGAGGCUGCAGUUUACAGAGCCAAAGGUUGACAAAUAGAUCAUCCAAGAAGCUUAUCUCGCACUUUACGGAGCAUUCAUGAGGUACCGUCAGUCACGCAGCGGCAUCGAAUGCUGAUAUGCGUAUUGGGUCAUUUGCACGUUUCAUGAUUCAUGACUGACGCUCUAUCUCGUCUACACAGUUUUCUCACGUGUUCGACGUCUGAUAUCUUUAGAAAGUGCCGGGCGUGUUGUGUUCACUUUGUGCUGCUGCUCAUUGUCGCGUGUUUCUGCGUCUUCAGCAGAGAGUUUAUAUUCUUUGUAAUUUUCCUCCAACUUGAAUUUCUAAUCUCAGUCAUCUUGCCUUCCUAGUGGUGUGAGCUAGCGGUUAUGUAUCCGGGACAGACUCUAGGUUCUGUAAUAUUCAUGAAAUGUCUCUUGACCGGAAGAAUUCGCUAUCCGUUAUAGACUCCUGAAAUCAUCUUCGAAAAUUCAUCAACAAAUUUAUUAUACUAACAGUGUCAUUAGGAAUUAGAUGUCGAUGCGAGGUCAUUUGUUGCUUUUGAUACCUCCGCUGGGGUAUCCUGUUUCUUGAAAUGGCCAACAGAAGAUAUGGGCAUCGAUUCCGGGCAACCAGUAGAACUUUAUUUUGGCAGAGACACUCAGUAGAAGAUAAUAUAUUACAAAUUCAGUCGUAUGUUUGUAAUAAUGGGUUGAUGUGACCUAUACGUCUUGAUAGACUCUUCAGGUUUGCUGCCGGAUCCUGAAACCAACUCUAUUCAAUUUUUCGGCGAUCCAGCUGUUCGCCAUCUUCAGGAGAACGCUGUUUCUGUUGCUGAGUACUGUUCUGUCUCAGCAGCGUUCUCCUGAAGAUGGCGAACAGUUGGAUCGGCGAAAUAUUGAAUAGAGUUUAUUUAAGUAUCCGGUAGCAAACCUGAAGAAACUUUCAAGGCUUAUUACGCCGGGAAAGCCUACGAAUUUCGCAGGAAAAGUACCAUCACCACGGAACUAUGCUUUUGUUUGAGGAGGCUCUUAGAUAAAAUCGCAGAAGCCUGAAAAUGGUGCUUUCAUUCCGAAAUACACAUAGGUCUGACAAAGCAAUAUUAUGAACGUUUGACGAUUGUUGCUCAUAACGUAAAAGAACAUAUGAUUUUUGGUGCCAUACCUGUUCACGUGUUAGAAACGACAUCACACGUAAAAGUUUGAAAAGGCUGCGCAAACUAUCUCUUACAAGAGCAGAGACCAGAUGCCUGGUUCGACAUCCUAUAGCGGUCUGUUCCGCAAUUUAACAGCUGUGCAGCUGUGGCUUUGCCAUCUGUUUCCGAGGGUUUGUUUAUGUUACCAUGAGUGAUGGUAAGAUGCUGCAUCUCAGGACGAAAUGUGUAUAUUUUGGACCAAGCAUCACAGCUAUCAACAUUUCACGUUAUGAUUAGAGCUUCGCCACCAGUGACGGUAUCAUUACAAGGUGGAAGGUGUACCAGUUUCACUUUUAGAUGUUGUCCAGCAAUAAUAAUUGCGAUUUCAACAGUUUCUGAUGUUAAUGAUCAAAGGGACUUAGAAAGUGGGAGAUGAGCGAACUCUAAAAUGAAUGAAGCCUGCAUAAGUCACAAAACUGAUUGCCACCAGCUUACAGACUUUCCAGAAACAAUGUUAUAUACUCAACUAAGUGUGGUAUGGAAUAGAACACUGGAUUUGGAAGUAUUACUGCGAGAACAUGAACGGGGCUAUCCAAGAAGAAACUGACGCAUUUCUAAUUUAUGUCAGUUAGCAAAUUUAAGGUAUAUUUGUAUUUUUAAGAUGCAACGUGAGUGCUUAAUUUAUGAACAUUUUAAAGUAUGGCAGAAUAAUCAGGCAUACAAAUUUUUCGCACGUUGAGUAUUUGACGAAAGUGCUUUGUAAAUAUUGGCUUGAUCUAACUAAACCCUUACUAACUGUUCUGUCAUUUUUCGUUUCAGUAUAUGAUCUGACAUGAAUUUCUCUUACGCAUUAUUGAUGUAUCUUGAUAAUUAUUUGUUGAUCUUCUCACUAUGAUCAUAUUGGGUGGAAAGCCAUAACAAUGUAGUAUUGGUACAUACAUAGUUAUGAAGUAACUCACAUUAUUUACAUCUGGAUUCAGAGUGCAGUGAAAAGUAUUCACAAGGAAAUCUCAUUCAGGGAGUUCCAUUAGAGGAAGCUAAUCUCAUAAAAUUUAAGAUAUCAACGCAUAUAUUACUUGCAAGAAAUCUUUUGUUCUGUUUCAUGUUUUGUCAGUUUGGAGACUGUAUUGAUAAAUUAUUGGACAUGGCUAUUAUGCAUGUUCCUUCAUCUCACUAUCACUUCCCUAUCUUUUCCUGAAAGUUAGAAAUAUCGAUGAAUCGUUCAGUCAGUGUGCCAAGAUCGCAUGGCGUCGUAAAUUGCAACAUUAUUUGAAGUACAUGUUAUGUUCCAGCUGAGGAUGAAAGAAACACUUCGCCAGGUACUUACAAGCAAUAAACAUUUCUCUUACACGUUAUUAUUGUAUCUUGAUAAUUAUUUUGUUGAUCUACCAACUAUGGUCAUGUUGGAUGGAAAGUCAUAAUAAUAUAGUAUUGGUAUAUACAUAGUUAUGAAGUAACACACAUUAUUUGCUUUCGUAUAUUUUCAGUAACAGCAAAACAAUUCUUUAGUAUGUUUUCUUUCUAUCUGAGGACGGAUUCGGCUCCCAACAGAAGCAUCAUGAAUCAAAACCGUGUAGAAAUUAGAAGAAACAGAACUUCUUGCUGCUCAAUAAACUCAUAUGUAUGCUGUAGCUGCAAGGAAACUGGAAGUAGAGUAUGAAUGAUUAGAUUAACUUAUACUUUAUUGUUUGUUAGCAAACAUGUUUCCAGAUUAAUCUGCGAGUCAACUUCCUUUCCACUUGAAAGACAUGUUUGCUUCUUUUAAUUUGUUCAUGACCGAACAUUAAUAUAUAUAUUAUUUGUAAACUCUAAUGUAUGAAAAUAUGUAUGAGGAAAUUUCCUCAGAAACGUACGAUGUAACAAAAGUUUUCCAACGUUAAGUCAAUUUCUUUAGUCUCACAAAUUACAGAACUUUAAAAAAAAUGCAGAUGUAUAAUACCGCUUCAAAACGAAAAUGACUCAGUCUCUAUUUACUUACUUUUCACAAAUUAACUUCGAUAUUUAUAUUCAAAGAAUCUGCAAAGUAAUGAGAAUAUUACUACACAGAAUAAAUAAAAGGAUAAACUGUCACGCUUAUUUUGAAAUUGCACUGUUCAAACAGCUGAAAAUUUAUAUUUUAAUGAGGUUUAGUACAGAAUGUGCUACAUUGUCCUAUACUCAUUCAUGUGUAUGCUUGUCUGUGCUAGGGAAGAAUGUGCUUCAUUGUUCUAUGUUCGUUCCCACAUAUGACUAUCUGUUUAUAAAAGUUGAAAUUCCGUUUCCAUGAAGUGUUCUGACAUUAUUUCAAAUGUGAAUAUUUCUUUUCUAAUGUAAACGGUUAACGUACACUGAAGUUCUUAACUCUGAAGGGCUAAAAACAAAAACAAAAAAAGACAGAAGUAGAAAUAGGAUAAAAUGGUUCUCAACAUGUGAAAUAAGAUCUUACAAACUGUUAUGUAUCUUGAAUACAGAGUUAUAAUAUUGUAAAAGAUUGUGUUGUAUUGUCAUUUUGUAUUUUGAUAAAGUAACUUACGAUAUAUGUAAAUACUUGAACAUAACAAAGUGCUUCUUAGCAAAUCAGGUAAAACUUUAAAAACAGGAACUAUCUUGUACUACUGUAAAUGACUGUAUUAUGUUUCCGUAUUGGAAAUCAUGAAUAUUGCUUACGAAACAUGGAAAUAUUUGAAUAAAUAAUAAUAAAUACAGCUCUCAGCGUCAUGAAAAUGUAUUUUUAUACUAAUCAUAGCCAUGUUGUGUAAACGAAAAUACCACUCAAGCAUUAGGAAUGUCAUAAAUCUCUCCAGCCUUUGUUGCCAAUAGAUUGACCUUGAUAGUGGCGCUGCUUUUUAUUCAAGGAGCUUCUUAUUUGGAGUCUCACGACUGAGUGGCCUAUUUAUCUUCGAAAAAAUCUGAGGAGUUAAUGGGAAUAAAACCUGGGUCCUUUCUCAUCGAAGGCAACAAAGCUGAAUUUUCUUUUUCAUCUGCCGCAACACUUUAUAUUCCCAUUUAUUUCUUAUAGUGUAGUCAUUAACAAAAAUGUUUAAAAUCUGUAUGUAACUUUGGAAAUUUACAUUAAAGCAGAAAUGAGUAAUCACACCCUGAAA